AUGUAGAGCAAUCUGUCUUAAGUAGGGAUAAAUUACUCUUAAAAAAAAAAAAAAAAUCCUAGAUAGUUCUCCCUUCAAGUAAAGCGUCUUGU
rnacentral:pre_miRNA from 1 species